rnacentral:rRNA from 1 species
AUUGAACGCUGGCGGCAGGCCUAACACAUGCAAGUCGAACGGUAGCACAGAGAGCUUGCUCUCGGGUGACGAGUGGCGGACGGGUGAGUAACGUCUGGGAAACUGCCCGAUGGAGGGGGAUAACUACUGGAAACGGUAGCUAAUACCGCAUAACGUCGCAAGACCAAAGUGGGGGACCUUCGGGCCUCACACCAUCGGAUGUGCCCAGAUGGGAUUAGCUAGUAGGUGGGGUAAUGGCUCACCUAGGCGACGAUCUCUAGCUGGUCUGAGAGGAUGACCAGCCACACUGGAACUGGGACACGGUCCAGACUCCUACGGGAGGCAGCAGUGGGGAAUAUUGCACAAUGGGCGCAAGCCUGAUGCAGCCAUGCCGCGCGUAUGAAGAAGGCCUUCGGGUUGUAAAGUACUUUCAGCGGGGAGGAAGGCGGUGAAGUUAAUAACUUCACCGAUUGACGUUACCCGCAGAAGAAGCACCGGCUAACUCCGUGCCAGCAGCCGCCGUAA